rnacentral:lncRNA from 1 species
CUUAGAUUGAUGCUCAUGCUGUUGAUCACUUGAUUGUCUGGUCCAGACUCAAUUAUUUACAGACGGUGCCAUAUAGCUGGAAUAUUGCUGAGUGCGGCGUUAAACAACAACCAAACCAAACAUAUAUAAAAGUGAUCUAAGAUGCCUGGAGUCAUGCUCCUUGGUCGAGUCAGUGUCGUCUGAUUGGAUUAACAUAGUAUUUGUCUUUGUGACCUUGACCUUGAACUACACUAUCACUGGCACGUGUAUGUAAACAGUGCAACUAACCACCUUCAGUGACGAAGAUAAGUGAUGUUAUUCCAUCCUGAUGUUAUUGCACCAUGAAGGUCUGAAAAGGUUGUGAUGCAAUCUGGUUGAACAAUGUCCCCUUGGAGACAGAUCUUGAUCAUCAAAGUGAUAUCUCCUGUGGAAACCAGUUACGGAUGAUAAAUAUUGCCUGUUUAAUAAUGAGUUAGAUAACCAGCAUAUUUGAUUAAAUGACAAAGAUGACAAACUUUGAGAUGGUUUCCUUUGUCUAACACCUCUCAAUAUAUUUGGAUAAUGAUUGACCUCAUCUGGGUUUCUAAAAUGAAUACUAGUACUGAAUUUAAUUAAACAUGUUUUUGUAACGCCUUUUCGCAGUAAGAGAGCUACCCAUUUGAUGGCCAUCCAAAUCACUCAAUAGGAGUGUUCAACACAACAAGGCUGAAUGACGACCUUGACCUAGAUUCAGACAUAUAUGACACAUGUCAGUGAUUUGUCUCUUUGACUUCUGGCAAUAGCUGCAUAUGUUGUAGUGUUGUAGCUCCACUGUGUGGUGCAGCAUGGCUGAUGAAAGGCUUAUCGUAAGCAGCAUAAACUUGCAGGGGUAUAGCUACCAUUAUAAAAAUCCUGGGCUUACACCUGAUUGUUGCUAAAAAGUUGGGCAAGCCCUCAAUACUAUCUUAACAUAAACCUUUGAAACCUAUCUGGCUUACACGAAAAAAUUGGCUUGCUAUGCACCUGACUGGUGUGUGGUUGCCCUGUGGUUGCCCUGUUCAGGACAUGGCAGGUCAUUUGGCAUGGGGAAACUGCAUGUAACUGCAAGAAGAUAUCCUGCACAGACCAUAUGGUCUGUUUUGUGUACAUCGGAACAAGUAUAGGAUCUACUGUGAGUACACACGCACAGGCAUAUGAUGCACUACUAAUACACCAUACACAGGUGUAACGUGUAUGGCAACUACACAGGUAUGAGAUGUACCGUGUUACACAGGUAUGAGAUGUACCGUGUUACACAGGUAUCAGAUGUACCGUGUUACACAGGUAUGAGAUGUACCAUGUUACACAGGUAUAAGAUGUACCAUGUUACACAGGUAUAAGAUGUACCAUGUUACACAGGUAUAAGAUGUACCAUGUUAUAUAGGUAUCAGAUGUACCAUGUUACACAGGUAUAAGAUGUACCAUGUUAUAUAGGUAUAAGAUGUACCGUGUUACACAGGUAUAAGAUGUACCGUGUUACACAGGUAUGAGAUGUACCAUGUUACACAGGUAUAAGAUGUACCGUGUUACACAGGUAUAAGAUGUACCGUGUUACACAGGUAUAAGAUGUACCAUGUUACACAGGUAUAAGAUGUACCGUGUUACACAGGUAUGAGAUGCACCGUGUUACACAGGUAUGAGAUGCACCGUGUUACACAGGUAUGAGAUGUACCAUGUUACACAGGUAUAAGAUGUACCAUGUUAUAUAGGUAUCAGAUGUACCAUGUUACACAGGUAUAAGAUGUACCAUGUUAUAUAGGUAUAAGAUGUACCGUGUUACACAGGUAUAAGAUGUACCAUGUUACACAGGUAUAAGAUGUACCAUGUUACACAGGUAUAAGAUGUACCAUGUUAUAUAGGUAUCAGAUGUACCAUGUUACACAGGUAUAAGAUGUACCGUGUUACACAGGUAUAAGAUGUACCAUGUUACACAGGUAUAAGAUGUACCAUGUUAUAUAGGUAUCAGAUGUACCAUGUUACACAGGUAUAAGAUGUACACCUACUGGCUCCUUACAUUCCCUUGCAGUCCAUUCUCCUGCAGCACCAGUGUGUGCUGGAGGUGUAAAGUGUUGUAGAUGUUACAUAGUUCUAUGUAUACACUCAGUAUAUGUAUACACUCAGUAUAUGUAUACACUCAGUAUAUGUAUACACUCAGUAUAUAUAUACACUCAGUAUAUAUGUAUACACAUGUAUUUACAGACGUUGUCUCUUUGUCCUGGACUGUUUGUGAACAUAUUCUAUGUGCAGUACCGUAUAUUACCGUAGAAAAGCCGAUCUCAUAGAUAAACCGAUCCCCCUAACUUGACCCUUAAAAUCAGUAUCAAAAUGGUAUGAUUCAUACAUUCAUACAUAAGCCCCCACCAGGGUGGUCGUAGAUGGGGUCCUAAUCACCGCCAGCUCAGACCACAAGACAACUGACAGCAAGCCGACCCUACAGCAGGCUCCCUAUUUAUAUUCUUCAAAACUUUGGUUUAUUGUUUGAUGGGCAUUCUAGAAGUUGGUGACUCAAAAAUGAAAUUAGCUUGAUAACGAUGUAAGAAUCUACAUCGAAAUGUCGCUCUAUGCAUUAAAUAAGAAGUUGUCAUCCAUAAAGUUGUAUGUUUCAUAUUUUAAAAUUUGGCUUAUCUACGGUAAUAUUCGGUACAUCCUCCUUUCAUGUCCAGGUGUUUACCAUAUUGUCUUGUGUAUUGUGUGCAACCCCAAUUGUUUAGUUUAUUACAUAUAGCUCCUUUUGUAUGUGUUACAUGUGUUAUUAUUAUUUACAAAUUAAGUCACUAACUUGUUAGUGAUUGCAGUAAAGAGUUUGUGCUAUCUUCACAUGAGAUGACGUACUAGUAGGUGUCUGGAAUUCAACUUAUUCAGGCAUUAUUCCCAAACAGGCUGUCAGAUCAUUGUACAGGUACAAAAUAAUACCAUGGUAUAAAGUUAUCAUAUUAUCGGAAAUUAAUUGAAGGUUGGUACAUAAUUCUGAUCGCUAGAAUCACUGUCAGCAGGGGUCACUUUGAGGGAUGAAUUUUAUUUAUGCUUUUUAAGGACAACUUCUCAGUCCCCUGCAUACAGGCAAGCUUUCAUGGGCAGUGUUCUAGUGUGCGUGUGCGUGUGCAUGCUUUUAUACCUACAUUUAAGUGCUGUAAACCUGGCGUUAGAGUUUUAGUGCCAAGUGGAUGCUACUUCCCUGAGAACACAUUCCUAUCGUGGCCUGUUUCCAUCUGUUGUAGGUGCGUAUAUGUCUGGUGUAGCAUCUCCUCCUGCCUGUCUUUCAGUGUUUCAUUGUGUAACAAUAUAGAAAGAGAUGUUGA